AAAUUAACCGUCACACCCAGGUGAAUGAUACAAUGAUUCAACGCUGCUGUACAUGACCCAGUGUUCAUCGUGGAGACGUAUCUAUAAAGAAGUUGCUAUGACUGAGGUCAGAGAAGUUACUGCCUGUGCUCUC